rnacentral:rRNA from 1 species
UGAGGAAUAUUGGGCAAUGCCCGCAAGGGUGACCCAGCAACGCCGCGUGGAGGAUGAAUGUCGUAAGAUUGUAAACUCCUGUUAGAGGGGAAGAAUAGUACCGGUUGGACCGGUAUAUGACUGUACCCUCAGAGAAAGCCCCGGCUAACUACGUGCCAGCAGCCGCGGUAAUACGUAGGGGGCAAGCGUUGUCCGGAUUUACUGGGUGUAAAGGGCGCGCAGGCGGGAUAAAAAGUCAGUGGUGAAAUCCUACAGCUUAACUGUAGAACUGCCUGUGAUACUUUUAUUCUUGAGUUCGGGAGAGAGAGACGGAAUUCCAGGUGUAGUGGUGAAAUGCGUAGAGAUGUUGAGGAAUACCGAUGGCGAAGGCAGCCCCCUGGGAUGAUACUGACGCUCAUGCACGAAAGCGUGGGGAGCAAACA